UACAUGGGGUGCAAACGUUGCUCGGAAUUAUUGGGCGUAAAGCGCGCGUAGGCGGUUACUCAAGUCGGAUGUGAAAGCCCUCGGCUUAACUGAGGAAGUGCACCCGAAACUGAGUAGCUAGAGUACUAAAGAGGGUCGCGGAAUUCCCGGUGUAGAGGUGAAAUGCGUAGAUAUCUGCAGGAACACCCGUGGCGAAAGCGGCGCGCUGGACCACUACUGACGCUGAGGAACGAAAGCUAGGGGAGCAAACAGG
rnacentral:rRNA from 1 species